UCCCACUGUCCCUGUCUACUAUCC
rnacentral:sRNA from 1 species